GCGGGUAUAGUUUAGUGGUAAAAGUGCGACUCGUCCUUCCAAGCUACUGAUGCGGGUUCGAUUCCCGCUACCCGCC
rnacentral:tRNA from 1 species